rnacentral:rRNA from 1 species
GUUCCACGGGUUCCGUGUCGGAGCUAACGCGUUAAGCAUCCCGCCUGGGGAGUACGGCCGCAAGGCUAAAACUCAAAGAAAUUGACGGGGGCCCGCACAAGCGGCGGAGCAUGCGGAUUAAUUCGAUGCAACGCGAAGAACCUUACCUGGGCUUGACAUGUUCCCGACAGCCGUAGAGAUAUGGCCUCCUUCGGGGCGGGUUCACAGGUGGUGCAUGGUCGUCGUCAGCUCGUGUCGUGAGAUGUUGGGUUAAGUCCCGCAACGAGCGCAACCCUCGCCCUGUGUUGCCAGCACGUCAUGGUGGGAACUCACGGGGGACCGCCGGGGUCAACUCGGAGGAAGGUGGGGAUGACGUCAGAUCAUCAUGCCCCUUACGUCCAGGGCUUCACGCAUGCUACAAUGGCCGGUACAACGGGAUGCGACACGGCGACGUGGAGCGGAUCCCUGAAAACCGGUCUCAGUUCGGAUUGGAGUCUGCAACCCGACUCCAUGAAGGCGGAGUCGCUAGUAAUCGCGGAUCAGCAACGCCGCGGUGAAUGCGUUCCCGGGCCUUGUACACACCGCCCGUCAAGUCAUGAAAGUGGGUAGCACCCGAAGCCGGUGGCCUAACCCUUUGUGGAUGGAGCCGUCUAAGGUGAGAC